GGGAAGUCAACAUUGUUUAUAUAUGGAAUAAACCGGAUUUUUAACUUAAAAAAUAUAUCAUCAGCUAUAUCCUUCACUUGCUCUGGAAUAACAGUGUCUUCAAGAGAGGAACAUCAUAAAUUUAAAUGCAAUUUAUGUGGAUAUUCAACAAAUAUUGCUACAAACUUCAGAACCCAUCAACUUAGACACUCAGGCGAAAAGCCUUUUAAGUGUAUUUAUUGUUCACAUGGCUUUACUACAAAGCAAAAUUUAUUGAGACAUAUAUAUUUACAUGAAUCGGGGGGGGGCAAGAGAGUCUGGAAAAGAUAUUUUCUUCACUUAUAUUCUUGUUACUGGCUGAAAUAAGUUUGACAAAACUUACUUAUAAAAGCAGGUAUUUUCAAUGGCUUCACCUGUAACAUGUGUGAAAAAUGGUUUUCUUCACAAGUUACAUUUUCAAAACACAGGAUGUGGCACCAUAAAGGAAAAUCUACAUUUUAUAAAUACAACUGUACUCAAUGUCCCUAUUCAACUAACACUUCUACUAAUUUCAAGAAGCAUGGUGCUGUACAUAGAAACUAUCAUCCAUAUGAAUGCCAUGUUUGUGGAAAUAGAUUUGCUUCUGUUAAUAGUUUAAAAGUACAUGAGAUCAUACACACUGGGGAAAAUAUGCUUAGUAUCCCAAUAAUGGUACAAAAUCAGUGUCAGUUCAAGAAUUUAAAAAAUAUUUUGUAAUAAUUUGAGUCUUUUUUAUGACUUUUUAUUAAUAGCUUUUGUGCAAAAUAUUCAGUUUCAACGUUUGCAAUACUAUGAUUAGUUUUUAAAGUGUUCAAAAAGGAGAAAGCUGUCAGUGCUUGUUUUGUAAUAUUUUAUGUUUUCUUGUUUUGUUGGAUCUUUUCUAUUAUAAGAUAGCAUGGGCCAAAGAAUUUUCCACAAGAAGAUAUACGCACCAACUUGAAACAAACAAUUGUACACUAUGGUAUUAACUGUACUUUUAUUCUUUUUUUGUGUGGAGAUGUUUUAAUUAAGAUUAUCCAUUUGAAUGGAUCGUAAUUGAUAUUAUGGCCUAAAUAUCUGGUAACGAAAGUUUUCUGCCAAAAAUAAAAUUAAAAGAAAACAUGAAAGCAGUACCUUUAGUGCAGGUAGUAAUCACCACCCAAAUCUAUGAUUUUCUGUCAAUGUUUUGAUAGUUUUUUUAAAGCCUUUGGCCCAGAAACUUGGUUACCAUGAGUUCAAAAACAGUUCAACUUUAUUUCAGAGGUCCUGUGCAGAAUGGAAGAUAGCACCAGCAAGAUGUAGCUCCAGGUAUGAAAAAAGGUAGAAGUCCAAAGGAGCGAUGUCAAAACUAUAUGGUGUAUGUGGCAAAAGAUCCUAUUCAGGUCCAUACAGAUUCCAGCCGGUAAAUGCAGACACACGUGGUUUUGCAUUAUCUUGAUGGAACAUGACUUUUUUUGCACCUGAACUCACUUUUCACUUUUCCUUGAUGGUAGCGUCAACAUGGACUAGCAUCUCGCUGUACACCUUACUAUCAAGGAUUUACAUUUUUCCAGAUAUUCUUUGUGAAUAAUACCAAGGCAAUCCUGCCAGAUACAAGGCAUGAUCUUUUUGUUAGUCAAUUUAUGAUUUGCAACUCUGCUACGGGCUCACCAGAGGCAGACUAACCCCCUUUCUGGGCUGUAUUGUUGAAGUAAAUCUGCUUUUCAUCACAAGUGAUUGAACUUCUACGUCGAGUUUAUGCAUCAAGAUGCAUAGCAUGACUAAUAGACAUGGCACUAACGUAUAACUCCUUAGCAAUCUCUUGAGUGGGUGCAUACCGAUCUUCUUCCACAAGUUUUUGCAGGUUGCCCUCAUCAUUAUCAGUAGGGCAGCCAGAGAGCUCUACUUCGUGAAUGUCAAAGUCCUUGCUUUUUAACUUUCGGUACAAAACCUUCUAAGUGGUAUAAGAUGUAGCAUUCCAAACCUUCACUGUGUCGUAUUAGUACCUAAAACUGUACACAAGUUUUGGUGACAUUUUUUAUCUGACGUUUUGCAACAAAACUGGAAGUAAAUGAUGGUUUUAAUCUGGUAGUGUUAUGGUUCCAUAUCGGAUACCUUGUAGUGAAUGAUAACGAUACUUUUUUAAAAAUUUCACAACACAGUAUUUUAAAGCAAGUCUCUUUCAAAUGGCAAAAAUCAUCUGAUAAAAUAUGAUUAAACAUGCGAACUGUUUGCGUGGACGAUAUUUGCGGUGGUGGUAAACUUUCGCUAAAACCCGAUAUGUUAUUCUUAUCUGUCAUAAUAUUGUUCUCGUUUUCAAAUUAAAUAUUCUCUAUAAAAACUUUUUAAGGUUUGCCUUUUUUUUUGGAUUAAAUAAUGUAUUAUUUAAUGAGGUAUAAUUCUUUGUGCUUAAAAAAAUUUUACUUCCCAUGUUAUCCUACAGCAGAAAAGUUUUUUCCUUGUUUUUUAUUUCUUUUUUAUAUAUAAUUUAUUGAUUGAAAUGCAUAAUAAUGUUUUCUGAAUCUUGCUGCUAAUCAUGUAAUAUGUAAUUUCUUCAUUUUGUGUAAAUAUAAAUAUUUUACUUUUUUGAUAAGAAAAUCUUCUCUUUUUUUCUAACAUAAUGGCAUUCAUCAUUCUUGUGUAAUGAAGGAAUGUAUAAAAAGGCUUUGUGAAGAAAUUAUAUUUUCUUGUAACAUUAGCUAUUUAUAGCUUGAUAUGUUGGAUAUACUUUUUUUAAGGUAUGCUGUAGAAUAAAAUUUAAAUGAA